UCUUCCUACGGGGCGCAGCAGUAGGGAAUCUUCCACAAUGGGCGAAAGCCUGAUGCAGCAACGCCGCGUGGGUGAAGAAGGUCUUCGGAUCGUAAAACCCUGUUGUUAGAGAAGAAAGUGCGUGAGAGUAACUGUUCACGUUUCGACGGUAUCUAACCAGAAAGCCACGGCUAACUACGUGCCAGCAGCCGCGGUAAUACGUAGGUGGCAAGCGUUAUCCGGAUUUAUUGGGCGUAAAGGGAACGCAGGCGGUCUUGUAAGUCUGAUGUGAAAGGCUUAGGCUUAACCGGAGUAGUG
rnacentral:rRNA from 1 species